UACGUAGGGCGCAAGCGUUGUCCGGAAUUAUUGGGCGUAAAGAGCUCGUAGGCGGUUUGUCGCGUCUGUCGUGAAAGCCCACGGCUUAACCGUGGGUCUGCGGUGGAUACGGGCAGACUAGAGGCAGGUAGGGGAGAAUGGAAUUCCUGGUGUAGCGGUGAAAUGCGCAGAUAUCGGGAGGAACACCAGUAGCGAAGGCGACACUCUGGGCCGGUACUGACGCUGAGGAGCGAAAGCGUGGGGAGCAAACAGG
rnacentral:rRNA from 1 species